GAGUCGAGGGGCAGCGGAUCCCUCCGGGGAUGCCGGCGACCGGCGAACGGGUGAGUAACACGUAUGGAACCUGCCCUUAACUGGGGAAUAGCCUUGAGAAAUCGAGGGUAAUACCCCAUAUCAUCUGAAAGAGGCAUCUCUUUCAGAUGAAAGCUCCGGCGGUUAAGGAUGGCCAUGCGGUCCAUUAGCUUGUUGGUGAGAUAACCGCUCACCAAGGCUACGAUGGAUAGCUGAUCUGAGAGGAUGAUCAGCCACAUUGGCACUGAGACACGGGCCAAACUCCUACGGGAGGCAGCAGUAGGGAAUCUUGGUCAAUUGGCGAAAGCCAGAACCAGUCAUGCCGCGUGCAGGAUGAAGGCCCUACGGGUCGUAAACUGCUUUUAUUCGGGAAGAAAAAGUCUGUUUCCACAGACCUUGACGGUACCGAUUGAAUAAGGACCGGCCAACUCCGUGCCAGCAGCCGCGGUAAUACGGAGGGUCCAAGCGUUAUCCGGAUUCACUGGGUUUAAAGGGUGCGCAGGCGGCCAAGUAAGUCAGUGGUGAAAGCCUUCGGCUCAACCGGAGAAUUGCCAUUGAAACUACUUGGCUUGAGUGCAGCAGAGGUAGGCGGAAUGUAGCAUGUAGCGGUGAAAUGCAUAGAUAUGCUACAGAACACCGAUAGCGAAAGCAGCUUACCACACUGUAACUGACGCUGAGGCACGAAAGCAUGGGUAGCAAACAGGAUUAGAUACCCUGGUAGUCCAUGCCGUAAACUUUGAACACUCGGAGUUUGCCACCUAGUGGUAAGCUCCCUAGCGAAAGCGUUAA
rnacentral:rRNA from 1 species